rnacentral:lncRNA from 1 species
AAAGAAGCAAUCUUCUCUCUAAUCCAGUGGUUUACAAACUAAGGAAAAUAUAAACCGUCUGUUACUAAAAACCUGGGGUUUUAAGCCUAGGGUGCUUCUGCAUAAUUUUUUAUUACAACACAUACAAAAGGGUUGUGUCUUAAGUUUGUCUUUUUAAGCCAUUAUCCCCUUGCAAAACUUAAUGUAACUUUAACAUGUGUUUGUUAAAAAGCUUGGGUCAGAAGCUGCCUUCUUAUCUCUGAUCCACUAACUCACAGAGGCUGCUUUGCUAACAGGCGCUUUGCUUCGUCUUUCUAAUUUACUGGUUUACAAAAUAAGGGGUUUAUAAAUUGUUUGUUACUAUUAACCUGGGGUGCUUCUGCAUAUUUUUUUAUUACAACACAUACAAAAGGGAUGUCUCUUAUUCCUUUGCAAAACUAAGGUAACUUUAACAUGUGUUAAAAAUGGUGUAUUACUAAAAGCUUAAGGUUUUAACUUUUAUAAAAACCCCUUUGUAAAAGGGCUACGUGGCUGGAAAAUGCUGGGGGUCUGUUUCUUUAGAUAAGAAAAAAACAGUUAAAAGGGAGGGGGACAGAGGAGGGGAGGGGGGAAAGGAGGGAGCUGGCUCUUGUUUAAAAUCUUGGGACACUAGGAUUGGUUCAGGAAAAUGAAUUCUAUGACGCUGCUGUAAAACCACCUCUGAUUGGGCCGAUCCAAAGGAAUUGAUAACAAGUGUGAGAGGGUCUGAACCAGAAAAGUUGCCUCAUUCUACAGAAAGACUUCAAAGGGUUAAACCAGAAAAGCUGCCUCAUUUACAAAAAGACUGCAAAGGUUCCGCUCUUUUGUGGAUGAGCUGCAAGCAAGCAAGAGAGAAGACAGCUAAAGCAUUGGUGGCAGGAGUCUCAUG